AACAGGAAGGACCAGUGGACCCAAUCUAAGAAAAUAAAGUUUAACAGGUGCAAAAGUAAAAUUUUUAAGAACAAAUCUAUAAUGUCAAAUCGAGGUGGAGGUGAUGUAGCCUGUAACAUGGCUUAAAAGUAGAAUAUGUGGGGAAUAUUCAUAGUAUUUUAAUUUAACUUUUUAAACUGUAAACUAAGUAAAAGCUAACGAUUCCAAGUGGCUAUUUAAAAAGAACAUCUACUGCAGUGCUGAGUUAUAUAAUACAAUUCUACAAAAUGAGAGUCAACAGUCUUCUUUUUUUCUAGGCCUUGUCAUGCUUUUCCGCAUUUAAAAAGGCAUUUAAAAAAAUCCGAAACAAGAACAUGUACAGAAAGGUAAAAUUGACUGGAAGAGUUCAUUCCUUCCACUGAAAUCACUGAAUAACUACCUUGGCUACUUGGUGCCAAUGAUGAAGGCAUCAUAUUUAUACCCCUCAAAGGAUUCACAGUCCAGGAAGAAGCAGACAAACGAAGACUUUCAUAAGUGCUAUGGAGAGCCAAGGAACCAUCUCGAUCUGCUGGGAAUUCCUGGGGCAGGAAACUGAGGAUGGGACUGUGGUCCAAGGAGGCAGACUCUGACCAGGCUGGGACAGGGAAGGGGAGCGUUCAGGCAAGGUGGUCGGCCUUCUGUCAGAGCAUACUGCAUUACAGUACUCGAGUAAACUUAUGAAUUAGGGCACAUAGCAGAAACAAUGACAAGAAAUGUUGGAGACAGAUGGACUCUUGAAGACCUUUGUGUCAUGUUGAAGAGUGUGAACUUUCUCCUGGGCAGUGGGACUCACAUGAUCCCUAGGCAGAGAAGAGCUCUGGUGGAACUUUUAUUUAAGAGAGAUGAUCAUAGCAGCCAGUGGAGGGGUUUGAGGUUCCUCAAUAAUUCACGCAAAAAAAAAAAAAAAACCAGACAUCAGAAGGCUGUGGUAGUAGUAAUGGAUGAGGAGGACAGGCCUGGAGGGACAUUCCAGAAGAAGAAUGAGGGGCUUGGUGAAUAACUGGAAGAAACGAUGAGGGAAAGAAGGAGUCUAAGAGGAGGCAAAUGACAGUGGGGCCAUACUCUGAGAGAGGCAGGAGUGGGAUAGGGGCAGGUUGGGAGCUCAUGAAGAUGACUGAGCCCAGCUUGAGUCUGGCUGAGUCUCAUACGUCUAUAAGACAUCCACCUAGAGAUGUCCACGGGCAGCCAAGGAUGUAAGAUCUGGCGCUUGGGAGAAUUGUCCGGGCAGGAGGCAGAUUUAAGAAAUGCCAAUGUACAGUUGGCUGUUAAAACAGGGACUAAAAGUAAGAUUGCCUAGAACAGGGCUGCUCAGCCUUUUUGAAACCGGUGUGUUUCUCCUUCCCCACAUUUGAUAAACACAUUCUUUCUGCUUAAAAUAAAAACACUAUUUUUUCAUUCACUAUAUGCUUUCACUGUACUAUAGAAUUAGCCUUUUCAAAC
rnacentral:lncRNA from 1 species